rnacentral:siRNA from 1 species
AGUCAAGUCGUCGGCAACUCAAUC